rnacentral:misc_RNA from 1 species
GGUAAUCAAGGUAUCAAAGAUUACGUAUGCGCUACCUCGAUCGGCCUACUAUAAUAUUAUAUACAUUUGAACUGGGACAAACUCUAAAACAUUAUAUAUUUUGCUGCAACCUAGACUUGUGAAGUAAAGGAAAUAUGCGAGGGAGAAUAUAACAGAUUUGAUACCGUUCUAGAAGCUCGUCGCCAGUUUUACGAUAGCUGUAAUAGACACGCUAAAAAGAUAUUCGCAUAAUUUUUUGGAAACUCCGGGGUAUGCGGACAGCCCGGAGAAAGGGUUUCCAAAAAUUUUCAUUCACUCCAGACGAAAAUAUUGACCGAUGAGACCGAACGUGUGUAUAAAGCAAGAGCCACCCCGCGGGGCGAAAGGUAUAAUGAAAAAAUUAAAGAAUCGAAGAGAAG